UUUUGAGUUUUCAUUCUCAGUCUCUCUCUCCCUCAUCCGCUGCUCUCUCUCCCUCAUUCCUCAGUCUCUCUCUCCCUCCUUCCUCUCUUCCUCUCUUCCUCUCUUCAACUCUCCUUCCUCUCUUCCUCUUUCCAACGUGCCAAGUCCAUGGUUGUAACAUGGAUCUUUAGCUCUCCUUCCUCCGGAUUUCUUUAACAGCCCGCGGAUUGGCGGAUCUGGAGGAGAAGGAUCUCGAAAAGGAGGAGCAGGCGGCGUUGGAGAAGAAUUCGGAUGAGGUGAAGAAGAAGCAGAGCCGUACGGUCGAGGAGGAGGAGGCGGCGUUGGAAACAUGUCAUAUUUUCUAUUUCUAUAUUAUGUUGUGCUUGUUUUGCAUUUUUUGGAGGAAAAAAAAAACCGAAAAAAAACCGAAACCGAACCGAAAAAACCGAACCGAAAAAAAAACCGAACCGAAAAAAACCGAAAAAAAUUUGGGCCGAACCGAACCGAACCGAAAUUUCGGUUUGGUUUCGGUUUUGGCAAAAAACCGAACCGAUAAAAACCGAACCCAGCCCUAGUGCACGGGUAGGUGGUGGUUGAUAUACUUAACAAGACUUUUCAAAUUGUCAUUGUAACCUUAUAUACGUAACAAUUAUGUUUUAAUUGUAUCCACUAUACCAACAUGUUGCCGUUAAAUUU